CCCUUAGAUGUUCUGGGCCGCACGCGCGCUACACUGACGAAUGCAACGAGCUUAUAACCUUGGCCGAAAGGUCUGGGUAAUCUCCAAAUUUCGUCGUGAUGGGGAUAGAUUAUUGCAAUUAUUAAUCUUCAACGAGGAAUGCCUAGUAAGCGCAAGUCAUCAACUUGCGUUGAUUACGUCCCUGCCCUUUGUACACACCGCCCGUCGCUACUACCGAUUGAAUGGUUUAGUGAGGCCUUCGGAUCCGCGACUCGUUUGUGGAGAAGUUGGACAAACUCAGUCAUUUAGAGGAAGUAAAAGUCGUAACA
rnacentral:rRNA from 1 species